GCCGCGAUCGCAUAAUCCGGUAUUGCGCCGGUCUUGAAAACCGGUUUCCGCAAGGAUAUCUCGGUUCAAAUCCGAGUCGCGGCG
rnacentral:tRNA from 1 species